AUAGCACCUGGUGAGAUCUUGUAGGUGUUUGAGACGGUGUCAAGUCAAGGCUAGAGGAUUUGCAGUAGACAAGCUUCUAUACAGUCUCUGGAUGUACAGAUCUGGGCACGAGUUGAGCAUCUUGGUUCAGUGACUGUUGGAGAACACUAUCUUGGAGUCCAGGGUGAGUUGUUGAUGCCUUCCCAAUACCGGAUUCCUCUAUAUCCUUAUUUUUGUCUUCCUUAUUUCAGACUGUGUUGUAUUAGCUUUUAAGACUUGUAAUCGUAUUCUAAAAAGCUAUUGUACUUGUGACUUCCAAGUUUUAGGGGCAUGUUGUCUCUAAUUUAUUUUUAGCAAGUUAUUAAGACUAUUUUAGUACUUUGGGAGUUCCUUUAAUUUCCUCAUUAACUUA